UACAGUUUAAUCUAGAACUCUGUUCUCUUCAAGAGUUGAUCAUUCCCAUGCCCUGGACAUCACUGUGCAUGAGCUGAUCUUAGAAUUUGGUUGUAUAAGUCUCCUCUGAAAUGCCACAAUGGAAGAUACUAAGUCUGCAGGAAAUUCCACACCACUAAAUCUGGACAGACAAGCAUUAGCCAGCUGGCCCUGGAGAUUCCACAGGGAAGAAAGUGCAGCCCAGGUCUGAAUGAACCUCUUGCUGGCUUUGAGGGACCAUGAUCACAUGAGAAUUCUGACUGUUACUACAAGAGAAAAUAAGCAUCAGACUGAUCCCAGACAUACCAUUAUAAUCUUUACCAGGUCUAGGGUAGGUCUUUUUUAACCUCCAAAAGGGGUAUCCAAUUUUCACUCUUUUGAGAUCUUCCUGUUCUUUUCAGCCUUCCCCUAACACACAUCCUCUUCUACCAACACAGCUUACUUUGCAAAUUCUGAAGUUCUGGUGAAGGCAGGCUUCCUACUGCUUUGGAAUUGGAGUUGACUAUGCUCAAAAUCAUAUAUGAAACAAGAGGAACUGAAAGAACAUAGAACUGUAAAACUGGACUUCAGUACCGAGCUCUGAAAUUGGAGCAAGUUCCCUAACUUCUCUCAGCCCCAGGCCCAUCACACAUAAUUCUUCUACCACUGAGGUAUGGGGAAGACUAUAGAGAUCAUGUUCAUGAGACAUCUCCCAUGGUGCCUGACACCUACAAGAACUCCACUUAAGGAUAGUAGGAUUGAAUAGAGUUGUGUUAAAGAAUGAGCUGAGGGAAUAUGUUGGGGUAUGGGGGGCCAAUAAGAAACACUAAAAUGAUAGAACAAAAGACAAAUUUUCUGCCAAAAAAAAAAAAAAAAUGGACUGGCUUUUCUGGGUAAAGUGUAGUUUUUCUCAGUCAGCAAGGCAUAUAGCUGCAGUAACAACUUCUUCCACUGUAUGAACUACUCAGUUCAAAAUGUAGCUUAGAAUUGCAGUGCAAAUGGAAAAUAUAUAGUGAAAUGGUUUUCUUUAUUUUAUACUAAUAAAGGUUUUAGAAGGUAUAGCCAGCAGAAAACACGAACACAAUUGCAUUUUUUUUGUUGUUGUUGUUGUUAUCAGAGACAACCCAUGAUAAUAUCCUGAUAUUUUCCCCUCUACAGUGCUGAGAACCCAGGACAUUGUGCAUUCUAGACAAGUACUCUACCACUGAGCUAUACCCCCAGCCCUGCCAUCCUGAUUUCUUUGCUUAAGUUUCCUCUGACCACUCUACAGAGUUCUCUAUGACCCAGAUCUUGCCCCCGGAAGACAUUUCACUUCAUUCCUUCAUAGAAUAUGUCAUAUAAUCAUUUGUCCUCCUGCCCCAUUCUACAGGCAUCCACCUCAUGCAUUCAUUCUUUCUGUCUUUCCCCCAAAUACUUGUCAAGAUUAUGUUUUAUAUUUUUAAGUAAUGUAUUUCAACAUGCAUGAUUUCAAAUUAGGAAUUAUAUGCUUUCCUUUAAGUAAGAAUUUCUCAAUAGAACUAAUUAUACAAUUAUGUCUGCUUUGUAAAAGAGAAAUCAUAAAGAAAUGAGAUCAUAUUUCUAGGGAAAUAACAAGUCAAAAUUCACAUGCAUGCAAUUCUACUUUGAUUUGCUUGGCGUAUGACCAACUGUGGUUCAAAAACAUUCUUGCUUAUUCUUAAACCAGUGUUUUAUUGUUUUCAAAUAAAUAAAACAAAGGGAAAGUUGAUUUAACUAUGGGGGAAAUUAUUUAAGCAAGUGGAAAUGGAAUGAGAAAAGCAAGUAGAACUAAAACACAGCAAAUCUUAUUUCAAAGUUCUGAUGUGCACCAAACAUCAAUAUUUUUCCAUUGCACAAAUAUGUUUGUGAUGCUGAAAUUUCCUUCUUGGUUAAUGAUGUUUAAGUGAAACAAAUAAAGUAUUGCUGCCAUCAUCAUCUGA